rnacentral:rRNA from 1 species
CCUACGGGUGGCAGCAGUGGGGAAUCUUGCACAAUGGGCGAAAGCCUGAUGCAGCAACGCCGCGUGUGUGAUGAAGGUCUUCGGAUCGUAAAGCACUUUCGGCCGGGAAGAAUAAGCUCGUGGCUAAUAUCCACGGGCCCUGACGGUACCGGCAGAAGAAGCAACGGCUAACUCUGUGCCAGCAGCCGCGGUAAUACAGAGGUUGCAAGCGUUGUUCGGAAUUAUUGGGCGUAAAGCGCGUGUAGGCGGGAUGGCAAGUCGGGUGUGAAAUCCCUCAGCUUAACUGAGGAAGUGCGCCCGAAACUACCGUUCUUGAGUGCCGGAGAGGGUGGCGGAAUUCCCGGUGUAGAGGUGAAAUUCGUAGAUAUCGGGAGGAACACCAGUGGCGAAGGCGGCCACCUGGACGGACACUGACGCUGAGACGCGAAAGCGUGGGGAGCAAACAGGAUUAGAUACCCUGGUAGUC